UUGGCGCGGAUUCCUAGUGAUUAGAGUUUGAUCAUGGCUCAGGGUGAACGCUGGCGGCGCGCUUAACACAUGCAAGUCGUGCGCGAAAGGCCAAACCGCAAGGGGAGGCCAAGUAGAGCGGCAAACGGGUGAGUAACACGUAGCUAACCUGCCUCCACGACGAGGAUAACAGCCCGAAAGGGCUGCUAAUACUCGAUAUGCUCACGGAGAUUCGUCUCUGCGAGGAAAGCUCCCGCAAGGGAGCGCGUGGAGAGGGGGCUGCGGCCUAUCAGCUCGUUGGUGAGGUAACGGCUCACCAAGGCGAUGACGGGUAGGGGGCGUGAGAGCGUGGCCCCCCACAUGGGGACUGAGACACGGCCCUGACUCCUACGGGAGGCAGCAGUGGGGAAUCUUCGGCAAUGGGCGCAAGCCUGACCGAGCGACGCCGCGUGGGGGAUGAAGGCCUUCGGGUUGUAAACCCCUUUUCAGGGGGACGAAUAAGUCCGGGAGGCAAUGCCCGGAUGAUGACGGUACCCCUGGAAGAAGCCACGGCUAACUCUGUGCCAGCAGCCGCGGUAAGACAGAGGCGGCGAGCGUUACCCGGAUUCACUGGGCGUAAAGGGUGUGUAGGCGGUCGUGCGUGUCCGUUGUGGAAAUCUUCCCUGCUCAACGGGGAGAAGUUCCGAACUAAAACUUCACAGGUUUGUAAGGGCCUGGAAAA
rnacentral:rRNA from 1 species